rnacentral:rRNA from 1 species
UCCGAAGGGGGCUAUCGUUGUUCGGAAUUACUGGGCGUAAAGCGCACGUAGGCGGACAUUUAAGUCAGGGGUGAAAUCCCGGGGCUCAACCCCGGAACUGCCUUUGAUACUGGGUGUCUGGAGUCCGGAAGAGGUGAGUGGAAUUCCGAGUGUAGAGGUGAAAUUCGUAGAUAUUCGGAGGAACACCAGUGGCGAAGGCGGCUCACUGGUCCGGUACUGACGCUGAGGUGCGAAAGCGUGGGGAGAAAACAGG